rnacentral:rRNA from 1 species
AUUGAACGCUAGCGGCAUGCCUAACACAUGCAAGUCGAACGAGUGGCGGACGGGUGAGUAAUAUCUCGGAAACUGCCCAGUAGCGGGGGAUAACUACUGGAAACGGUAGCUAAUACCGCAUACUAUCGGAUGAACCCAUAUGGGAUUAGCUAGUAGGUGGGGUAACGGCUCACCUAGGCGACGAUCCCUAGCUGGUCUGAGAGGAUGAACAGCCAAACUGGAACUGAGACACGGCCCAGACUCCUACGGGAGGCAGCAGUGGGGAAUAUUGCAAAAUGGGCGCAAGCCUGAUGCAGCCAGGCCGCGUGUAUGAAGAAGGCCUUAGGGUUGUAAAGUACUUUCAGCGGGGAGGCGUUACCGGCAGAAGAAGCACCGGCUAACUCCGUGCCAGCCGCCGCGGUAAUUC